AGUUGGUCUACUGUAUCAGUGACCUUAUAGAUCAGUUCCCGGACAUCCUUGAUCUUCUCGCAACGUAUCUUCUAGCUAUAGUUCGGUUCAAGGUCAAGUGCGUUUGCGUUUUCCAUAUCAGAGAAAGAACGGCUUGCAGGUAUGAGUGGCCAAGAGAAUGUAAAGCAGCAAGAAGAGUGUUCAGUCCAGCCAUCUAUUUGACAGUUCAACAUUUUCCUACUGAGAUUGGUCUCUGUUCCACUAAAUAAAAAAUAGUAAAGGAUUGAUUUCUCAAGUUCUUAGAAAGGGGUGUUGGAAAAGCUUAGAUAUGUUUUCUGACAAAUGCACUCAAAUUAAACAUUGAAAAUGGUCAAGAGUUGUAAAAAAACACAAGAUCAUUUCUACACCAACGCAUCAAUGCAUCACACUUUUAUGUUGUUUUUCCAUUCUACUCUCAAUCAAGUCCCUGAAUGUAAGGAGUAUCAGGUGGGUGACCCUGACCUUAUUCUGACUGUGUCUGAGAAAGAUGCAAGGCUAAGAGGUCACCUGAUUGAUUGCACAGUAUAGUUGCCAUGGUCAAAAUCUUAAUGUUGUUAAAAGUAACUAGUGUGGUAAACUGUACUUCCAAAAAAUAUU